GAUGAACGCUGGCGGCGUGCCUAAUACAUGCAAGUCGAACGCAUAGCGAAAGGUGCUUGCACCUUUCAAGUGAAUGGCGAACGGGUGAGUAACACGUGGACAACCUGCCUCAAGGCUGGGGAUAACAUUUGGAAACAGAUGCUAAUACCGAAUAAAACUUAGUGUCGCAUGACACAAAGUUAAAAGGCGCUUCGGCGUCACCUAGAGAUGGAUCCGCGGUGCAUUAGUUAGUUGGUGGGGUAAAGGCCUACCAAGACAAUGAUGCAUAGCCGAGUUGAGAGACUGAUCGGCCACAUUGGGACUGAGACACGGCCCAAACUCCUACGGGAGGCUGCAGUAGGGAAUCUUCCACAAUGGGCGAAAGCCUGAUGGAGCAACGCCGCGUGUGUGAUGAAGGCUUUCGGGUCGUAAAGCACUGUUGUAUGGGAAGAACAGCUAGAAUAGGAAAUGAUUUUAGUUUGACGGUACCAGACCAGAAAGGGACGGCUAAAUACGUG
rnacentral:rRNA from 1 species